AAGACGGCCUAAUACCGUAUGAUAUCGUUUGCUGACAUCAAAUAACGAUUAAAGGUUUAGCGGUUAUGGAUGGGGAUGCGUCUGAUUAGCUUGUUGGCGGGGUAACGGCCCACCAAGGCGACGAUCAGUAGGGGUUCUGAGAGGAAGGUCCCCCACAUUGGAACUGAGACACGGUCCAA
rnacentral:rRNA from 1 species